ACGCUGAAACACUGGUUCCCGUCCAAUCAGCGAAGUUAAGCAACGUCGUAUCUGGUUAGUAACUAGAUGGGUGAUCUCUUGGAAAUACCAGGCGCUGUAA